rnacentral:rRNA from 1 species
UACGAAGGGAGCUAGCGUUGUUCGGAAUCACUGGGCGUAAAGCGCACGUAGGCGGAUUUGUAAGUCAGGGGUGAAAUCCCGGGGCUCAACCUCGGAACUGCCUUUGAUACUGCAAAUCUCGAGUCCGAUAGAGGUGGGUGGAAUUCCUAGUGUAGAGGUGAAAUUCGUAGAUAUUGGGAAGAACACCGGUGGCGAAGGCGGCGACCUGGUCCGUGACUGACGCUGAGGCGCGAAAGCGUGGGGAGCAAACAGG